rnacentral:rRNA from 1 species
GACGAACGCUGGCGGCGUGGAUUAGGCAUGCAAGUCGAACGGUAUCAUCCUUUCGGGGAUGAGAGAGUGGCGAACGGGUGAGUAACACGUAGGUGAUCUAACCCUCAAGACGGGGACAACCCAGGGAAACUUGGGCUAAUACCGGAUGUGAGCUAUCGUGAGAUAGUUUGAAAGGUGGCUUCGGCUGCCGCUUGAGGAUGAGCCUGCGUCCUAUUAGCUAGUUGGUGAGGUAACGGCUCACCGAGGCAGUGAUAGGUAGGCGGCCUUAACGGGUGGUCGCCCACACUGGGAUUGAGAUACGGCCCAGACUCCUACGGGAGGCAGCAGUCGAGAAUAGUCUACAAUGGUCGAAAGACUGAUAGUGCGACGCCGCGUGAACGAAGAAGCCCUUCGGGGUGUAAAGUUCUUUUAUAUGUGAGCAGUGACACCCAUAUUAAUAGUAUGGGUGUAGAGAUAUUAGCAUAUGAAUAAGCAACGGCUAACUCCGUG